CUCUUUUUCAUUUCUUGAGUGUCUUAAAAAAAGGACGACGUUCUCUUGUUUUAUAAACACGCGUUUUAUUGAUUGAAACUGAACCUUUGAAUCAGUUCCGCGGUUAUAUAAGCCCUGGUCUUGUGUCGCUCUGUUAUUGUAUUAUUUGAUUUACGAUUAAUAUGAAGGUUUUCGUGAUUGUUGCAGUGUUCGCUUUCGUGGCUGUCCAGCUGAGCCAAUCAGCUCCCGCUCCGGAUGAUGUGAAGAAGGAGGCAGCUGCACCAGCAGCAGUCGCCGUUGAAACCGUUUCACCAGUCGCAUUGGAAAAGUCGUCGCCGGAAGCAGUUGUUAGUAAAUCCCAACCAGCAGCGGCCGAGCGACAAGUGGAAGAGAAGAAAUCAUAAAUACUAGCUAUCAUUUUCUGAAUAUCCACAUUUAAUUUACAUUUAAUGUUUUAGUAAUAAAGUCUGAUAUCUGCAAUCUCAUCAUCCUCAUUUAUUAGUAUUUUUGCGAAUCUUCUCCAUACUUAACUUAAGAGAAUAAUUUAAAUAAAUUACCAAGAAUUAUAA